CUCCUACGGGAGGCAGCAGUGGGGAAUUUUGGACAAUGGGGGCAACCCUGAUCCAGCGACGCCGCGUGGAGGACGAAGGUCUUCGGGAUUGGUAAACUCCUUUUUGAGGGGGGAAGAAGUGCCUGAGUGAAUAACUCAGGGUGACGGUACUCCUCGAAUAAGCCACGGCUAACUACGUGCCAGCAGCCGCGGUAAUUC
rnacentral:rRNA from 1 species